rnacentral:rRNA from 1 species
UGCAAGUCGAACGAUGAACCGCUUUCGGGCGGGGAUUAGUGGCGAACGGGUGAGUAACACGUGGGCAAUCUGCCCUGCACUCUGGGACAAGCCCUGGAAACGGGGUCUAAUACCGGAUAUGACUGUCCGCCGCAUGGUGGAUGGUGUAAAGCUCCGGCGGUGCAGGAUGAGCCCGCGGCCUAUCAGCUUGUUGGUGAGGUAGUGGCUCACCAAGGCGACGACGGGUAGCCGGCCUGAGAGGGCGACCGGCCACACUGGGACUGAGACACGGCCCAGACUCCUACGGGAGGCAGCAGUGGGGAAUAUUGCACAAUGGGCGAAAGCCUGAUGCAGCGACGCCGCGUGAGGGAUGACGGCCUUCGGGUUGUAAACCUCUUUCAGCAGGGAAGAAGCGAAAGUGACGGUACCUGCAGAAGAAGCGCCGGCUAACUACGUGCCAGCAGCCGCGGUAAUACGUAGGGCGCAAGCGUUGUCCGGAAUUAUUGGGCGUAAAGAGCUCGUAGGCGGCUUGUCACGUCGGUUGUGAAAGCCCGGGGCUUAACCCCGGGUCUGCAGUCGAUACGGGCAGGCUAGAGUUCGGUAGGGGAGAUCGGAAUUCCUGGUGUAGCGGUGAAAUGCGCAGAUAUCAGGAGGAACACCGGUGGCGAAGGCGGAUCUCUGGGCCGAUACUGACGCUGAGGAGCGAAAGCGUGGGGAGCGAACAGGAUUAGAUACCCUGGUAGUCCACGCCGUAAACGGUGGGCACUAGGUGUGGGCAACAUUCCACGUUGUCCGUGCCGCAGCUAACGCAUUAAGU